rnacentral:rRNA from 1 species
AUGACGAUCACCCCAGCCCGGCCAUCGCGUUCCGGUCACUCACGUCCACCGCAACUGGAACACGCCACCGAGGGCCUUCUAAAUGCCGGCGUCGAACGCUACAACGGCGAACGAGAGCGUGUUCUGUCCACCAGCCGCGAAGAGGACGAUGCCAAAUGCGACAUCGGCGAGGGCCAGGCGAGGCACUGGAAUUUGAACUAUAACAACGUUGGUAGCCAUGUGAAGCCUGCCAGAAACGCAGAUGAGUUCACUGCAUUUCCUAAGAUCUACCGAAGAAUCGAGAACUGUGUUUUCCACAACCAACUCUAG